AGAUAAAUGGCUGAGUUGGUUCAAGGCGACAGUUUUGAAAACUGUUUUAUUUCAAGAAUAAUCAUGGGUUCGAAUCCUAUUUUAUCUU
rnacentral:tRNA from 1 species